rnacentral:misc_RNA from 2 species
CAACCCUCAAGCUCUGUCUUGCGCUUGGUGUUGGGGAUCGGCCCUGCCCGCCAGCCCGGGCGGGCCGCCCCCGAAAUGAAUCGGCGGUCUCGUCGCAGCCUCCUCUGCGUAGUAAUUCAGUUAUCCUCGCACUUGGAGCGCGGCGCGGCCACUGCCCGUAAAACGCCCAACUUCUCAAG